ACCUCAGUGGCCUAAUGGAGAAGGCACUGGCCUUCUAAGACAGGGAUUAGUGAUUCAAGUGACCUCUGAGGUG
rnacentral:tRNA from 1 species